rnacentral:lncRNA from 1 species
UUAUUAUUUUGUUGUAAAAGAUGUGAAAACAUGAAGAAUUAGAAAACAGAACAGCUAAAAUAAGUUAUAAUGAGUCACAUCUCAAAAAAAUACACUCAAGGGAAUAACAAUGUAAUGAUAACACAUUUUCAUUAUUCUAAAAACAAACUCUGUUUGUCUUCUAGUUUAAUUCUAUUAUGGCCACGGCAGAUAGUUUGGAUAAGUUUAAUUCUUUAAAAUUUAAGAAUGUGGUCCAACUUACUGAAUAUUCCAAAGGCAUUUGAAAUGAAUGUGUAUUCUAUUUUGUUGGAUGGAGUAGUCUAUAGAUGUCAAUUAGGUCAACUUAGUUGAUAAUAUUCAAACUUCCUAUAUUUUUGCUGCAUUUCUGUCUGCUUAUUCUAUUAAUUACUGAUAGAGGUACGUUGAAGUCACCAACUAUAAUUGUGGGUUUUUCUGUAUGUCUUUUUCAUUUUAUUAAGCUUUUGCUUCAUGUGCUUUACAGCUGUAUUGUUAGGUGCAUGGAUAUUUAAAAUUGUUACACCUUCUUGGUGAAUUGAGUCUUUUAUAAUUAUGUAAAUUCCCUCAUUGUCAGUGGUGAUUUUCCUUAUUCUGAAUUUGUCCAAUAUUAAUACAUCUACUCCAGCAUUUCUUUUAUUAGCAUUUUCCUAGUAUAUGCUAUUUCAUUCUGUUGUUUUUAGCCUUUUUUUAUUUUUGUUUUUUUUUACCAUUAUGUGAAAUGGAUUUCUUUUAGACAGCUCAUAGUUGAAUUUUUCUUUUUCAAAUCUUAUCUGAUAAUCUCUCUCUUAUUUAAUUGGUAUGUUCAGACCACAGACAUUUAAUGUACUUAUUUGUGUGGUUGGAUUUAAGGCUAUUUUAUUAGUUUUCUGUCCAUUCAUUUUGUUUUUCAUACCUUUGUUUUUCAUUUCUUGCCUUCUUUUGAUUGGUUUGAACAUUUAGAAUUCCAUUCUCAUUUAUCUACAGUGUUUGUUUUAGUAUAUCUCUUAGUGUAGUUUUUCUUCUAGUGGUUAUCCUAGGGCUUACAAUAUACAUAUCAAACUUUACACAAGCUACUUAGAAUUAAUAUUUUACCACUUUAGGUAAAGUGAAGAGACCUUAGGACAGUUUAUACUUCCCCAUUUUUGAUGUAGUUGUUAUAUGUAUCACAUCAACCUAUUUUGAAAUAGCAUUAUAAUUUUUGCUUUCAGCAAUCAUGCAUAUUAUAACAAACUUAAGAGGCAAAUAAUACUCUAAUUUUAUUUACCUGGAUAUUUACAAUUUCUAUUGCUCUUUCCUUGUUAGUGACCUUCCAAGUUUCCUUCUAUUAUUGCUUUCCUUCCCCUUGUAAACCUUUAUUGAGCAUUUCUUUGAAAGCACAUCUCCUGGUGACAUAUUUCCCUUAUCUGAGAAUGUCCUUAUUUUGCCUUCAUCCUGAUGGACAUUUUUGAUACAGGAUUAGGCUGACAAUUCUUUCUUUCGGUACUUGAAAAUAAUGUUAUGCUGCUGUCUUCUGGACUCCAUAGUUUCCAAUAAGAAAGCUGCAGUAAUUGAAAUUCUUCCUCCCCCAUAUGUAAUGUAAUUUUUCCCUGUUAAUUUCAAGAUUUUAAAACUUUAUCUUUGAUUUCUAGGAGUUUCACUAUGAUAUAUCUAGGUGUGGUUUUCUUUACAUUUAUCCGGUUUGUGGUUGCUGAGAUUCUUCGGAUCUGUAAAUUUAUGUCUUUCACCAAAUUUGGGGAAUUUUCAGCCAUUAUUUAUUCAAAUACUUUUCUGCACUGUUCCUUUUUUUUCCUCCCCUUCAAUAACUCCAGUGUGAUAAAUGUUAGACCUU